AGGACGAAUGCUGGCGGCGUGCUUAACACAUGCAAGUCGAACGGUGAAGGUGGAGCUUGCUCCGCCGGAUCAGUGGCGAACGGGUGAGUAACACGUGGGCAACCUGCCCCUCGCUCCGGGAUAACCUCGAGAAAUCGAAGCUAAUACCGGAUACGACCUGGUGCGACAUCACACCGGGUGGAAAGAAUUUCGGCGAGGGAUGGGCCCGCGGCCUAUCAGCUAGUUGGUGAGGUAACGGCUCACCAAGGCGACGACGGGUAGCCGGCCUGAGAGGGCGACCGGCCACACUGGGACUGAGACACGGCCCAGACUCCUACGGAGGCAGCAGUGGGGAAUAUUGCACAAUGGGCGAAAGCCUGAUGCAGCGACGCCGCGUGAGGGAUGAAGGCCUUCGGGUCGUAAACCUCUUUCGGCAGGGACGAAGCGAUCAGUGACGGUACCUGCAGAAGAAGCCCCGGCUAACUACGUGCCAGCAGCCGC
rnacentral:rRNA from 1 species